rnacentral:ncRNA from 1 species
AACAAGCGCCAGCGCUGGCCGGGCAUGGACCAGCGGACGAGGUGGAGGUUGCGCGAAAGCGCGAAAAUCGAAAGGUUCGGCGGAUGCCUCCCGUCCCGCCGCGGGGCGGAGGGCCGCAGCAAAACCACCGGGCGACCGGUGGGACAAAGUGCGG